GACGUAGGUGGCAAGCGUUGUUCGGAGUUACUGGGCGUAAAGGGCGCGCAGGCGGCUUGGCAAGUCGAGUGUGAAAUACCUCAGCUUAACUGAGGAACGGCGCUCGAAACUACCUCGCUUGAGGGCGGGAGAGGGAAGUGGAACUCUCGGUGUAGGGGUGAAAUCUGUAGAUAUCGAGAGGAACACCGGUGGCGAAGGCGGCUUCCUGGCCCGUACCUGACGCUGAGGCGCGAAAGCUAGGGGAGCAAACAGG
rnacentral:rRNA from 1 species